rnacentral:rRNA from 1 species
CCUACGGGAGGCAGCAGUGAGGAAUAUUGGGCAAUGCCCGAAAGGGUGACCCAGCAACGCCGCGUGGAGGAUGAAGUCCUUCUGGACGUAAACUCCUUUUAGAGGGGACGAAAAGCCCGAUUUGUCGGGAAUUGACGGUACCCUCAGAAAAAGCACCGGCUAACUACGUGCCAGCAGCCGCGGUAAUACGUAGGGUGCAAGCGUUGUCCGGAUUCACUGGGUGUAAAGGGUGCGCAGGCGGGCUCUUAAGUCAAAGGUGAAAUCUCUCGGCUUAACCGAGAAAUUGCCUUUGAUACUGAGAGCCUUGAGUACGGGAGAGGGAGAUGGAAUUCCAGGUGUAGGGGUGAAAUGCGUAGAUAUCUGGAGGAACACCGGAGGCGAAGGCGGCUCUCUGGACCGAUACUGACGCUGAGACGCGAAAGCGUGGGAAGCAAACAGGAUUAGAUCCCCUGGUAGU